AGGGAUAUAACUCAGCGGUAGAGUGUCACCUUGACGUGGUGGAAGUCAUCANUAGUCAUCAGUUCAAGCCUGAUUAUCCCUA
rnacentral:tRNA from 1 species